CCCUGCUGCUGAGGGAAUUGGCUGGGCAGUCUGUGCUGUCCUGACCACAAGUGGGGUUAGGUUUAUGAGGUGACCUGAGGGCCCUGAGGCCGGCCCCUGGCCCAGGCUGUCUUGGCAUACGGGUGGGGAUGAGGGCUCCUGCCAGCUUGGUACUCUUCCUGGCAGAGGUUCACGAGUAAGCAGGACGUGAUCCGGCACUACAACAUGCACAAGAAGCGGGACAACUCCCUGCAGCACGGCUUCAUGCGCUUCAGCCCCCUGGACGACUGCAGCGUCUACUACCACGGCUGCCACCUCAACGGGAAGAGCACCCACUACCACUGCAUGCAGGUGCCCGCCUCCCCGUCCUCGCCCUGAAGCCCCCCAGCUCAGGCCUUCCUCUAACCCCGACCACAGCAGCCAUGGGCAGGGUCUCUGGGUGCAGGGUGGAGGUAGCUGGUGAGCCAAGAGUCACUGGGCAUGCUGAGGGAGGCUCUGGGGGAGUGGGGAGCAGAAUCUGGUGGCCGAGGCGGGGCCAUCCCCGUGGCCAUACUUGGUGUGGGGGAAAUUCAGUGAGCUGUUUAUACAGACCGACAUUUUUCAGGCUUUAACACCAAGAGCGGCAUUGCAAAUGAUUCCUGAGGAGGUUUUUGUUUAAUUCUUUGUUUUAAUGCCACACUGAGUCUGGGCUUUUUCAAGGUGUCAGGCCCAGGAGGAGCGACUUUGGGUUGCAAAUAGCAGCCUCCUUGCCUCCCCCAUAUUUGUCGAGGGUUGUUAUGGCCUCUGGGGAACAACCUGGGUGUGAGGAGGGGGGCCACCCUGGGCCUGAGACGGUGCAGGCACUGGCACAGCCCAGCCUUUGAGGGUGCUCAGAGGCCACUGGUUUUUACUCAAUAUGGCAACAUUGUCUGCCUGGCCCAGUGCGGGGGGAGGGGCCAUGCCCAGAAAUCAUCCACUAAGCAAGUCCCUGAGCUAAGGUGACCUCCAGGACACAGCCCCUGUCAACUCUGGGGACUGUAGAGGUAGGGCCACAGAUGGGGAUAUAAAACCCAGCAUCUGAAGAGCAUGGCUCCCUCGCCUGGGCCCGAAGCCGCGUGGUCUGAAGACAGCCUGGCCCUCAGGCAGGUUCCGGUUGCUCCCUGGGCGGGGUGGGGGGGUGGUGGUUGGAGGCUUUAUGCCUCGGCCCAGGCACACCUGGGGAGUUUGAGGAUAGAGGUGUCAGCUGUCCCGAGAGGAGACCUGUGCCCAGCCGCCCUCUGACCUUGGCCCAGCUGUGCCAGGACUCAGAUGGCUGCCCGCCAUCCUGGCUGCAGGUGGGCUGCAACAAGGUGUACACGAGCACGUCCGACGUGAUGACCCAUGAGAACUUCCACAAGAAGAACACCCAGCUCAUCAACGAUGGCUUCCAGCGCUUCCGAGCCACCGAGGACUGCGGCACGGCGGACUGCCAGUUCUACGGACAGAAGACCACGCACUUCCACUGCAGGUGAGCCAGCUGUCCACCGGCACCCCAGGCUGGAGGAGGGGCAGGGGAUAGCUUGCUUAAGGCCCUGGUUUGGUGUCCAGCCUGGGUUUUCUGUCACGGGGACUGCCCCCUGUGUGCCCCAUGACAGACCCCCAAUGUCCCAUCCAGGCGUCCUGGCUGCACGUUCACCUUCAAGAACAAGUGUGACAUCGAGAAGCACAAGAGCUACCACAUCAAGGACGACGCCUACGCCAAGGACGGGUUCAAGAAGUUCUACAAGUACGAGGAGUGCAGGUACGAGGGCUGCGUGUACAGCAAGGCCACCAACCACUUCCACUGCAUCCGCGCCGGCUGCGGCUUCACCUUCACCUCCACCAGCCAGAUGACCUCGCACAAGCGCAAGCACGAGCGCCGGCAUGUCCGCUCCUCGGGCGUGCUGGGGCUGCCACCCUCGCUGCUGGGCGCCAAGGACACGGAGCCCGAGGAGUCUAGCAACGACGACCUGGUGGACUUCUCUGCCCUGAGCAGCAAGAACUCCAGCCUGAGCGCCUCCCCCACCAGCCAACAGUCCUCUGCGUCCCUGGCCACUGCCGCUGCCACCACCGAGGGCACGCCCAGUGCCACCAAGCCUCCUAGCAGCAAGAUCCAGGGGCUGAUGCCCCAGGGCCUGCCAGGCUCCAUCCCCCUGGCACUGGCCCUCUCCAACUCGGGCCUGCCCACCACCGCACCGUACUUCCCCCUUCUUCCUGGCCGUGGGAGCACCUCCCUGCCUGUGGGUGCCCCUGGCCUCCUGGGUGCCAUGUCAUCUGGGGCAGGUGCCUCAGCAACCCCCGACACACCUACCUUGGUGGCUUCGGGAGCUGGAGAUUCGGCCCUGGCGACUGCCACCUCUGUCCCGGUGCCCCCUGCCUCCAUCAUGGAGAGAAUCUCUGCGAGCAAGGGCCUCAUCUCACCCAUGAUGGCCAGAUUGGCCGCAGCUGCCCUCAAGCCCUCUGCCACCUUUGACCCAGGUGAGCAGGCCAGGCCCUGCCCAGGAAGCAAGCACCUUCUGGGUCCCAGAGGCUCCAUCCCUGCACUCCUGUUGCAGAGCAGAGUAGGGUGGUGUGGGGGAGCCGUCUGUCUGAUCUCCACCCUCCAGUCUUGCACCAAGCAGUGGCCCCUCUCUGCCUGGUCUCUGCCUCCCUCCUGUGUAUUUCCUCCUCAGAGCCCCACCUGGGCCCCUGCCCAGGGAGUUCUCGCCUGUUUCUCCUGAGGCGGGAACAGUAGGCCCUCCCUCCUGGGAUCCCCUGCAUUCUGUUGGCUCGCUGUGUUCUCACCUCCCACAUCACAGAUGAGUCCCUGAGGAGAGCUGUCCCAGGCCCCCUUCUCCUCUUGAGUCUCCUCCAGAUGACCUGGAGGGGGACAGGUCCAACACAGUGGCAGGGUGACUGCACCUCAUACCUGGACAGCCCUCCAGGCCGAGGGACACCUCUGCAGCUUUCCCCCAGCAGAACUUACACCCCACGCUCUUCAGCAUGGCAGCCACUAGCCAGGUGGCUGUGGAGUGCCCAGCUGGUCAGAGUGAAGAGGCACUGGGUUGCAGUGUGACUCAUUUAAGCAGGCGCACUGGCCAGUGCUCCCUGAUGGACAGUGUGGCCUGCAGCCAAGAGUGGCUUCUUCUGGUCUGGCACUGGCUUGCUACAGGGUGGCCCCCUCCUUCCUCCUUUUUCCUUGCUUCCUUCUUUCUCCUGGUUUCCCUGGCUCCUCUCCCUUUGCUUCCCCAUCUGGGAAUUUGUCUUAGUUGAGCCCUUGAGAAGUGUUCAGCUCCGUCCAGGAGGUGGCUCAUUCAUUCACUCAACAACCCUUGGUGCUUGCUGGGUGCCUGCCGAGGGCUACCACUGAGUGGGUGCUGGGGACACACAGGCAGGAGGAAGUGGAAGCCAGCCCCGUCCUGUGGUGCUGAUGGAGCAGUGGGGUGGCCCGUCCCCAUACACAGCUGAAAGUGACAAAGUUGAGACGGUCCUCAGCACCUUGGCUGCCAGGUCCGGAUACUCUGCUCCCAUUUGAGACCAUCUUGGAACCGGCCAGGACAGACAGAGGGUCCCUUCGUCCCAGCUUGGGGCUCUGCCCACACCUCCUUGAGAGUUCUAGCCCUGGAGGAUAGGGAGCCGGGCCCGUUUUCCUGUGACUGGGGGUAAAUGACUUCAGGAGCUGCUGGGGUGUGGGCUUAUGAAGGCUGAGAACCCUUUCAGGUCCCUGGUGGGGCACUCAGAUCCCAGGGGGCAGUUUAGAGGCCCCACCUUCCACUCCCUGGCCACAACCCCAACCAAGAACUGAGCCCUCCAAGGCCACCCUGGGCUCAGUGGCCAAGCUGUCAAGGACUUUCUUUUUCCUACAAAAGUCUCCUUCCCCUCCCCCGCAAAAGAAAGGUCAGGCGCAGGGGAGGGAGCCAUUUUCCUGUAUUUUUAAUAAAAUGCCACUUGCAGUCUGAAGCAGUCCUGUCAGCUGUAGCGCCUUGGGGCAGAUUAAUAUUUCAGUCACUUGGGGAUUGUGGAGCUGGGCCCAGUGGACACCUUCCUGUCAGCUUCUUUUGCCCCUGAUCUGCUCGGCUUCCUACAGCGUCUUCCCACCCAGCUUCCCCUCAGACCCAUCCUGGCCAGGCCUUGAGCCCCUGCCCUGGACAGCUUGACGGGCGAGGUCACACAGCUCGCUGAUUGGCCGUCAGCUCGGUAGCCCUGACACAGCAGAUGCCCUCUCUGGGCAUGCUCAGUGCAGGCAGGCUGUCUCCCCGGCAACAGCAGGCCAGGGACCAAGGAGGGGCCGCUCUGUCCAGAUCUGCCACUUUCCCUCAGCAUUAACAGAGUCUUUAAUAAAAGCUUAAACGGCAGCCCCAGAAAUCGACUGUGACAGUUGGUGAGGAAAACGAAGGGCCCCUGCACCCGCCCCAGCCCCCUCCUCAGCCUCCCGCCCUUCUCCAGGAGGCCCUGAGCCAGGCCAACUUUGACAUAAUUUUGCAGUAAUUAUCACUUGAAGAAUUGCCACACAGGGGUAAGCGUCUCAAGCGAUCACGUCAGCAGGGAGAAUCGCUGACCACAGUGAGGCCUCCCCAGACCCCUGGCCUACCAGGCUACUGCCCUCCUUUUGUGGGGAAUAGGGUUUGUGCCCAUGUGAAUCCUGGGCCCCUCUGACCCCAUCUUCCCUCCCCUCUCCUGCAGGAAGCGGGCAGCAGGCCACCCCUGCCAGGUUCCCUCCAGCCCAGGUAAAGCUGGAGCCGGGUGAGAGCGCUGGCACCCCAGGCCCCCUUGAGGCCUCCCAGGACCGCAGUCUAGACCUGACUGUAAAGGAAUCCAGGUGAGGUGCUGCUGGAGAGAGAAGCCCUUGACAAGCACCCUGGGCUGGACCCUGGGGUUCAGCUCGCCCUCCUGUCCAGAGCUCACCUCCUGCCAGGCAGCUGCAGCAGGCAGGGCUGGGGGCGGGUAGGCCUCUGGGUUGGUCCCACGGACGUCGGAGCUGAAAGCCCCUUGGUUUGUGUGUUCUAGUAAUGAAUCAAAUGGCCACGCAGCCCCGGCAAAUUCAUCUCUUUUAUCCUCGCUUAUGAAUAAGGUAAGAACCAUCCAUCACACGCCUCCUGCUCCCCCACCCCAAGAAAUUAAAGCUGUGCUGGGGGGUGGGGGGGAUGUGUUUGUUUUUUAAUGUUUUCCCUCUAAUAAGAUGAGUUUGUACCAUUUAAAUUUUGAGGCCAUUUUUCAUCGACUAUAAUUUCAGAGCCACUGCUUACAAAUUAAUUUAAUGAACUGGCUGAAGAAAUAUAUGCCAGCCUCUGACACCUUUUUUUCCCUUCAGAUGGAGGGCUCCAAAAGCUUUUCCGGAGCCCUCUAACUUCUCUCACCCUUAGUUAUUAAUGUUAUUUAUUUAUUUUAUAUAUUUUUUGUUUGUUUAAAAAGGGGUCAGGGAGGGGGGACUAAAGUGGGAGCACAGCAUCAAUUUCCACUUUUCGGGUUGAGUAAUGGUCUCGGACGCCUUCCGGAGAGGUCGCUCUGGAAUAUUUAUUUUAAAUAAUGCAGGGUCUUUGUAAAUUAUACAUCAUCUCAAAUAUAUUUUUCCCCUUCACAUGAUAAACUUGACUGCAGCAAGAUUAAUUUGGUUACUGUACACAGUGAUGGGGCUGAAGAGGGAGCUGGCCCAGGCUGGACCUCGUGGGGUGGGUCCCAGCUGGGCACUUGGCAGGCAGGAGCCUGCUACCUCCUCUCCUCUCCUGCUUGCUCUCUUGCUCUCGUCACUCCUCUGGCCACUGCCCACUGCACGCCUUCUUCCUUCCUGGGGAGCCUGUGGGCUGACCCCCCUCCCCAGCAGCGAGCCUGUCUGCUCUCACCCCAUGAGUGUCCCUCCCUCCCCACACCUCCUUUGUGCACCUUCUCUUGUUCUCAAAGAAUUCAUAGGGGUUCCCCCCAUCCCUCCUCCUCCUGCACUUCCUUUGAAAAACCUUCUGGCAGGAAAAUAACCAGGGAGCCACGAAGUCUGGGGAAGAUGGGCCACAGUGCGCACCCUGAGUGGCGGCCUCAGCGAGAGCAGCGGCUCCAGCAGCACGGGAUUGCUUGGAGAGGCCCUGCGCCUUCAGGCCAGGCCCCCAGCUGUCCAGGCAGGGCCCUUCUCUAGCUGGAGCCCAGGGGGGGCCACAGAUUCCCUCCUCCCUGCCCGGAGUGCUCUGGUGGUCACAGAGCAGCAUGUCUGUCCUGAGGCUCCCAGAGCCGAGCUUGGCCACUGUCUUCACAGAUGUCUCAGGGCAACCCCAGCCUCGGCAGCCUGCUAAGCAUCAAGACAGAAGCAGAGGGGAGCCCUGCUGCAGAGUCCUCACCCUUCCUGGGCAAGGCUGCAAAGGCUGUGGUUCAGGAGAAGCUCUCAGAGCCCUGGAGAGUGUACCUACGCAGGUGAGGAGCUGCCUGAGGGCAGGGAGGGAGGGAGGGCUGGCAGUGGCCCCAGCAGCCUGCCUAGUGGCCAGCAGCAGCCCACCUCUAACUGGAGCCUCCUCCCUGCUGGCUCAUUUGGCUAGGUUUGGUACCAAGGACUUCUGCGACGCCCAGUGUGACUUCCUCCACAAGGCACACUUCCAUUGCGUGGUGGAGGAGUGUGGUGCACUCUUCAGCACCCUGGACGGGGCCAUCAAGCAUGCAAAGUGAGUGGGGCCCUGGGGGCCCUGUCAUCUCUCGCUCAGGGCUCUGCGGGGCUGGAUACCACACAGCCUGUUGCAAUUCCCACCAGACCACAGAGCGGCUGGCUCCUCAGGAGGGAAGUGCCCAAAGGAGGAUGGGCUUCCCGUCUUCCUUCCACACACUCAGCCCCCAGCCAGCUGUGUCCAGAGAGCCCUGCCUGGGCCCCACUCAAUACCCUAGCGCCAGCUGCUCCCAAGCCAGGACCUGUGGGGCUGGCAGCAUGCCCUAGGUGCCCCUGCAGAGUGGCCAGAGACUCAGUGUGGACCCAGGGGUAGAGACCCAGGGCAAAGGCCUUUCCCAUUCCACUGUGACAUCUUGAGUCCCUUUGACCCAGAACAGCAAAAUGAAUCUGUGAAUGCCAUGGAGUUUAAAAGCAGCGAGCCCGGCCACUACUUGUAACUGACUCAAAACCUGUAAGCCUUCAAGACAGAUCUCUGUGCCCUGAGCCCCACACCAGGCCUUUCUCACCACGUGGGCAUCUUGUCCCAGCCGCUGGCCUGCACAGGAGCCUACUGAAUAGUCAGAGCAAGUUUCGUGAGGCAGGGCCUACUCUCACACAUAUACCCAGGGAGGGGACCGCCUGGGCAGAGGCAGGGCACAGGUAGGAAGACAGAGUUAGGGCCAAGCCCAGAGCUAGGGCGCAGCAGUUGUCCUGAGGCUUCCUGUCUUGGUGGGAUCACGGAGAGCUUGCUGAGCAUGAGGUCCCUGUGCUGGGCCCUGGUCUUGUGAUGGGGUCACACCACACCUGCAGCUCCUGUGCACAGGCAGCCAGGGAGGGGCUGGGCUGCAGCGGCCUCUUAGCUCCUCACCUGAUGUGACCUCUCCUGCCCCUUCCAGCUUCCACUUCCGGACGGAGGGCGGAACAGUGAAAGGAAGCUCAGAGGCUUCCUUCCCGGCCUCUGUUGCUGAGACCAAACCUUCCUUGGCACCCUCACCCCCUCCGGCACCUCCUGGCACCACAGUCCCGGGGACCUGUCUGGAAGGACCUGCUCCCAGCCCGGCCUCGGUGCCCUCCACCCCCACCCUGCUCGCCUGGAAGCAGCUGGCUUCCACCAUACCCCAGAUGCCUCAGAUUCCCGCAUCAGUGCCUCACCUGCCCGCCUCACCCUUGGCGACGACUUCUCUAGAGAAUGCCAAGCCCCAGGUCAAACCCGGAUUCCUCCAGUUCCAGGAGAAGUGAGUCCCUCGAUGAGCCGGGCGCCCCGUCCCCAAGCGUCUUGGGAGUGGGUGUGGCAAGGGCAGGAGGAGGCCCUGUUCCUCACCGUGCAGAGUUAACACUGGAUGUCCCCACCCUCUGGGAAACGGCCUCUGGGCCACAUCCUUCUAGCCAAAGAUGCUGUGCUUGCGCCGCCACUCUGCCCAUCCCAAGCAGCCAGUGGGUGGUGGGUAGCAGCAGUAGUCCCCAGGACCAGUUGGGAUGGGCUGAGAGUGGAUUCUCAGGUCUCCUGGCCCAACAGGGAGGGUCUCCCUUGCUGGCCUCUUCAGUGGCUCGAACCUGCUGAGAUUGCAGGGCCAGGGAAGUCACAGGUGGGUGUGAUGGGCUAGGCCCCUCCCAGGCCUGCACUCCCUGCAUAGUGGCCUGAGUCUCGGGUGGAAGGGACCUUUCUCACUGAAUGGUGGUGGCUCCUUGCGGCGAGAACGGUGACUUUGUAUCGUAAUGUGUGCGGCUUCCU
rnacentral:lncRNA from 1 species